AUGAUAUUUUAUUUAAUAUUAUCAAAAAUGAUUUUUAGUAAAAUUUUCAUAACUGCCUAAAAUACUGAGUUCAUAUUGUUUUCUUUCAAACAAAAAUAUUUCUCUUCAAAUCCCCAAAACGGUCUCUCUUCUAUUCGCGUCGUCUUCUCACCUAAACCCUAAAUUUCACUUCUCACCCAAAAUCAUAAAUUUCAAAUGGUUUCUUCGCCACAUACAGCAAGGAAAACUAAAGUCAACCGAAAGCUCAAUUCUUUUGUCUCUAUCUCUGUUUUCAUCUCCUAUAUAUUUCAAAAGAGGUCAUUUUCUCCUAAGCUGCAAGGAAGACGAAAAGCAAAGGGUUUCUACACUAUCGUGAUCUGUCUAUUGAGGGUUAGAUUCCUCCAUCUUCAAUCAAAGCUGAACUUCUUCUUGGGGCAAGACAAAACUAAACAACUAUUGAUAUGUGGUCUCUUGGUUGUGUAAUGACCUAACUAUUUUAUCAACUGUACAAGGUAUAUGCUAAGUGUCAAUUAAGAGAUAGAAAGUAUGCUUUUAUUUUUCUCUUAUUGAUUUUGUUUCCUUGUGCCUAACCACUUUUAUUAUAGUGGUUGCUUUAUUACACUAUUCUUAUCUGUCUGCCUCUGUUCUUCCCGGCUUCCACUUAGGGUGGUGAUGGAUAGCCUAUCUGGUCUCCCUAAGCGACUAUGACUAGUUAUACAAUUUUCUUAAUUUUUAUUAAAAAUCUAAAUGUUUCUUUCAGGUAUAAUAUGUUAUCUAAAAAUUUUCAGGUAUAUUCUUCGCCUGAGCUUCAUGAAAUAAUUUGCUAAUAAUUCUUAAUUUAAGUAUUAAGAAUAACAAAUUUAAUUAGAGCAUAAGUAUAUAAUGUAUAAGUUAUUAGUAAGUUUAAUUUCUUAAGAUUUGGUGUAAUAUUUUUUAGUUUUGUAACAUGUUAUUUUGUCUUGUUUAUUUGUCUUGAAACUAAUCUCAUUCAUAUGAUUUUUAAGAAUGGGGAAGGAGGAGUCAAUUGAUGUAUAAAGUAUAAUGGUGUGUUCUUCCUCCUAUGCCUCCCAAACAACAACUUAUGGAAAGGGACAAUUUCUGGUUAUUCUAUUGUUGGGGAAAUUGAAAUUAAGACUAGUAUUUUGUACCCAAAUUAAAUAGAGAACUAAAGCACCAAUAGUAUAUGGAUAUGGGAAUACAAAAAACCUUCG